CUCAAGCUUCUUCAAGUUUCUAUAAUAACCACCUUAACAAUUUAUCUCGUGCUACAAUUGCACCCAAUAUAUCAGCACCUAACAAACAACCUUCUACACCCCUGCACCUAACCUUCUCCCUGGUGAACCACACGACGCGAACAGACUCUUGCACGGUGGUUUCCGGCAGAAAAGAGAUGGUGACGAGAGACAGAACUGAAGAUUUCAAAGAUGUAGUGUGCCAGAGUGCUGAUCGCUCUCUUGGCUGUGAUGAGAUAAGGUUGUAGUUGUUUCAUACAAUAUACUUGGUGUUGACAAUGCAUCUAAGCAUCGGAUUUAUAUUCUAACAUUCCACAUAGUUUCCAGGAGGUUGAUCAUCUUAAUGAUUUGGAUGGUCUUUUCCAGAACAAUGACUUUAAAGGUGUUUACAAGGAUCGCACUGGGGAAGCACGUGAUGGAUGUGCUAUAUUUUGGAAAGACAAAUUGUACGUUUCCAUUGCCCCUAACUCAUUUAAAAAAUUGAGUUUUUCUAUCCAUUGUUGUUAGAUUGUUUUAUUAUCUUCAAUUCUUAUCCUUUCAUAAUGCAGUAGAUGCCUAAGUAUUCCGAAUACAUUUAGAAGUGAAUUUCUAGGGUAAAAGUAUUAAAUUACUCCCUUCCUAAUUAUAAGACAUAAUUUUUCAUUUUUCAUAUUCCUAAAUAUAAGGCAUUUUUACAAUAAUUCAAUAAAAAAAUAUUGCAUUUUUCCAUAUAUACCCCUUACAUUAAUUGGGUGUUUUCAUUUUCAAAAUUUUAAUUACAACCUACCAUUAAUGCAAUGAUUACUAGUAAGAGAAAAUGACAAUGGGUAAAUAUGAAAGAAUGUAUGCAUUUUUUUAAAAUCAAUACACUAAUUAGAUACAUUUAAUGCUUUCUUAAUAAGUGUAAUUUUUUGUAUUAGGUCUUAUAAUUAGGAACGAAGGGAGUAUUAGUUUUGUAAUCACAUUGGUACCACUGGAUAAUAAAUUACUUUAUUUUAAAUAAAUAAAAACAUUUGAAAUAAGUAUUGAUAUUAUCAACAUUGUUUGAAUCAACUUCUAGUUCAUUCUCAUAACAUGAGCUUUUUUUUUUUUUUUGAAAUUAACAUGAGCUUCUUAGUAUAAUUGGUUCUGACUUUAGAAUUAAUUAUAUGAAAAUGUCCAAAAAUACACAUACAAAAACAUUUUUCUACUUAGGCAAGAAAUUUACUAUGUCUGUUGUUGCUUGGAUGAUCCUCACCGAUAAAGUGAAAAUAAAUGCUAUCUAUCUCUGAAAAAAUCAGGGAUCCCCACCAUGGAAGUUGGAGUUGGGCUUGUUAAGACCUUAACAAGAAAUCAAGGCUAUGAUGGUCAUUAGGACCAAAAUAAUGACAAAUCACGAUUGCGGGACUUUUCUUCAUUAUUCUUGUGUGAACAUCUUUUUUUAGAUAAUUAUUUUGUUUUGCUCCACAUUUGAAAAAUAAUUCUUUUAAAUAUAUAGUUAACUGGAUAAUUAGGUGACUCAUUAAACAAAAAAUAGAAUACAAUAUAGAAUAAAUCAAGGGACAUAAGUUUAAACUUAUGGUCUAUUUAACUACCUUUUUUAAAACGAUUCUUUCUUUUAAAAAGAUAAAAACACAUUAUUUAAAAAAUUGAGAAAUGAAUCGAAUGAAAACUUACUUGCCAUGGAAGAGGACGACAUAUGAGAUGAUGGCAGUGAAAGCUGCAAAGCCCAAUUGGUAGCUAAUUGCAAUGGACAAACUUAGAUAAACCUUACUGUAGUUUUUGUAACUAUCCCUGUCCAUUCUAAAAGUUUUGGGUUUCAAUAUUUUUGAAACAUUGUAUAUCUCACAUGUUGAAUGUUAGGACUGACCAAUGGAAAUUUGAUGUUAUCAUAGAAGUUGUUCCAAUAUAUAAUGAGAAUUAUAAAAUAGAGGAAAAUGACAUAUCCAACUAGAAUAGUUGAUA